rnacentral:rRNA from 1 species
GACGAACGCUGGCGGCGUGCUUAAAACAUGCAAGUCGAGCGGAGCAGCGAACGGGUGAGUAACGCGUGAGUAACUGCCCCCCUCUCUGGGAUCACAGUUGGAAACGGCUGCUAAUACCGGAUAGUGGGGGAUGACUCGCGUCCUAUCAGCGUGUUGGUGGUGUAGUGGCCUACACAGGCGACGACGGGUAGCCGGCCUGUGAGGGCGACCGGCAACAUUGGGCUGAGAUACGUCCCAAAAUCCUACGGGAGGCAGCAGUGGGGAAUAUUGCACAAUGGGGGAAACCCUGAUUCAGAAACGCCGAGUGCGGGAUGACGGCCUUCGGGUUGUAAACCGCUGUCAGCCAUGACGCGGUAGUGGCAGAAGAAGCACCGGCUAACGACGUGCCAGCAGCCGCGGUAAUUC